rnacentral:rRNA from 1 species
GACGGAGGGUGCUAGCGUUGUUCGGAAUCACUGGGCGUAAAGGGCGCGUAGGCGGCCCAUGCCGUCGGCUCGUGAAAACCCGGGGCUCAACCCCGGAGGUGCGUCCUAGACCCAUGGGCUGGAGGCCGGAAGAGGAGGGUCGAAUACCCAGUGUAGAGGUGAAAUUCGUAGAUUUUGGGUGGAACACCGGUGGCGAAAGCGGCUCUCUGGUCCGGUUCUGACGCUGAGGCGCGCAAGCGUGGGGAGCAAACAGG